UACGUAGGGUGCAAGCGUUGUCCGGAAUUAUUGGGCGUAAAGAGCUCGUAGGCGGUCUGUUGCGUCGGCUGUGAAAACCCGAGGCUCAACCUCGGGCCUGCAGCCGAUACGGGCAGACUAGAGUUCGGCAGGGGAGACUGGAAUUCCUGGUGUAGCGGUGAAAUGCGCAGAUAGUCAGGAGGAACACCGGUGGCGAAGGC
rnacentral:rRNA from 1 species